GAGAGAGAAAACGCAUUUCAUAUACGCCUUUGCUCCCUACGCCUGUACUGUAAGCUCAUGUAUAGAGGCGAAUAUUAUUCAAAACACAUGCAAAAGUCCCUUCCUCUCACUCUCGCGCCGCUCUCUCUCGCUCUCUCCCCUCCUCUCUUGUUUGCUGUUUUUACACACGCACGUUCUGCGACCCCCACCUCAGCAGCUCUUGAGAGAGCCUCGCUUCCACACAGUCUGCCAACGCUCGUUCAAGGAUGGAUAAAACGCAGAUUUGGAGCUACACGAAAAGGACACCUUCCGCAGCAAUACAACCAGCAUUUCUUUUACAAUAGCCCGACAUGCAACAUCGGGAUUUUCUAUAGUUUUUACAAGCAUUUCUGAACGUUUUAAAAACAGCGGCGAGAACAUUUUCAACGGAAUCGCGAAUCCUGCAACAUAAAUCCGCUGGAGGAAGUCCCUCAUAGCUUUUCGAGUGAUUUCGACACAUGCAAACCGAUAUUAAAAGUUUACCCUGAUCUAUAUCCACGGGAUACUGAACGGACUGCCUUCAGCGCCUCACCACCACCCCGCGGUCUGCGUGGCCCUAGAUGGAGCGAACAGCGUUUGGAAAGACAGCUGUUUAUUUGUAAGGAUAAGACUACAGGAUUCUCUCUGUUACAGAACAAAAAAAAAGGCACUGAUACUCUUCAUGGGCGAUGUUGGAUCUGACAUCCACGGCUGGAAUUUAGAUUUCUCAAUUAUUUGGCUCUCGUUGGCGAACAACUCCCAACCUGGCUUCAACUUCUCCCGCAACAGAGGAUUUGGCGGUUUUUACGCUUUUCCCAAAUGGCGUAGCGCCGACGCCUCCCGCGUACAUAGUGCUUUCAAGAUUGGAGUGGAAAUGACAAAGGCUUUCAAGUCGAGGUUAUUCAUUGAGUAGGCUAUGUCAAAAGGCUGGCACUGUAGCCCAUCGGCACUCAAAGUGGGUGGACUACGUCUCAUGUUCAGCAACUCGGGGAUUCCCUGAUAGGAGCAGCCGUCAACAUGAUGAGGCCACACCACUGAAGAGCGCUCUCCCAAAUGAAGAGACAUCCGGGAUAGGACAUUAAUGGAAUACUGACACUGACUCUUGACACUUUUUUUCAACGAUCUUGCCCCCGUGGUCUCCAGGCGGAAGGGCAAACCGGGACAGCUGGUGGCUCGACAGCACAGUGACUGAUAGACUGACGCCUAGUAGGCCUACUGAAUGUCAAGUCAUUUGGGAUUCCGCAUGCUGUCAGUCAUUGGAUGAGUCAAUUUCCAACCAAUUAAGUCAAAUGAGGAAACGUCAUGCACACGCUCGCACACACACACACACACACACACACACACACACACACACACACACACACACACACACACACACACACACACACACACACACACACACACACACACACACACACACACACGCACACACACUUGAGAUGGAUGACACACCCUUGGCUCUGGGACCAGAAGAGACAUACUACUGUACAAACAUCCUCACCAGCCCUCAUUUGUAAUCCCUCGAUGGCACGGAGCAGAAACACAUCAAGCACCACAAUCUGCUGUCCCGUGAGCACGCUUCCCUCCCUACUAGCUCCCUGGUGUAUCUCUCCUAUGGUGGAGAUAUUCAUCGCACAUAACUCACCAUUAUGCUCCCACUGAGCAACACACUGCUGGUGCAGCGUGCUGAUAUCUUACGCCUACAACAAAGCACCGGUACUAUCAGCCUACUGGCUUUUUACAAGUUCCCUUCCCAGAUAUAACUCUCAUACCGUGCUAUACUAUACUAUAUAAAAAACUAUAGAUUACUAUACCAUACUAUACUAUACUAUGCUAUUCUAUAUACAAAAUGAUACUAUACUAUUCUACACUAGGCCUACUGUAAUAUA
ensembl:lncRNA